UUAACGAUUUACUUUUUCGUAUACUGACAGAAGUUUACUUGUGGUUUGGGUUGUCGCCGAAGCGACGGGGAGGUUCACACUGGUUUGAAGUAACGAGUACCGGAACGAUCAUCUGAGGGUGCUCUGGGGUGGAAUGCGAGGGCUACAUCUUGAGGGUGCUCUGGGUACGCACGCGGGGGAGGCCGCGUCGACUUACCAAACGCCGCCGGACAGUGUUUCGAGCUCCAAUACCGCAUCCACUUACCAAACGCACCGGACAGACCCACGGUUCCGGCAUUACGUGCUUAUAGCCCGAUGGGCUGGUCCCCCCGGACACAUGGUCCAGGGUUCUGUUCUUUUUUAAUGAUCCUUCCGCAGGUUCACCUACGGAAA
rnacentral:misc_RNA from 1 species